rnacentral:rRNA from 1 species
GACGAACGCUGGCGGCGUGCUUAACACAUGCAAGUCGAACGGGCCUUGUCCCCUUUUUUUUGGGGGUGGGGUUAGUGGCGUACGGGUGAGUAACACGUGAGUAACCUGCCCCUCACUUCUGGAUAACCGCUUGAAAGGCUGGCUAAUACGGGGUGUUCUGGCCUGCUCGCAUGGGUGGGUUUGGAAAGAUUCGACCGGUUUUGGUUGUUUUUGUGGGGGCUGGGCUCGCGGCCUAUCAGCUUGUUGGUGGGGUGAUGGCCUGCCAAGGCUUUGACGGGUAGCCGGCCUGAGAGGGUGGGCGGUCACACUGGGACUGAGACACGGCCCAGACUCCUACGGGAGGCAGCAGUGGGGAAUAUUGCACAAAGGGCGCAAGCCUGAUGCAGCGACGCCGCGUGAGGGAUGGAGGCCUUCGGGUUGAGAACCUCUUUCGCAAGUGAAGAAGGUACUGCUCUUUGUGGUGGGGUUGACGGUAGCUGGGUUAAUGAAGCGCCGGCUAACUACGUG